GUCCCUGUAGCGCAAAGGAUAGCUCGUUGGACUUCUAAUCCAAAGGUUGUGUGUUCGAAUCCCACAUGGGAUG
rnacentral:tRNA from 1 species